rnacentral:rRNA from 1 species
CCUACGAGUGGCAGCAGUGGGGAAUAUUGGACAAUGGGGGCAACCCUGAUCCAGCCAUGCCGCGUGUGUGAAGAAGGCCCUCGGGUUGUAAAGCACUUUCAGUGAGGAAGAACGCCUGGUGGUUAAUACCCAUCAGGAAAGACAUCACUCACAGAAGAAGCACCGGCUAACUCCGUGCCAGCAGCCGCGGUAAUACGGAGGGUGCGAGCGUUAAUCGGAAUUACUGGGCGUAAAGCGCGCGUAGGUGGCUUGAUAAGCCGGUUGUGAAAGCCCCGGGCUCAACCUGGGAACGGCAUCCGGAACUGUCAAGCUAGAGUGCAGGAGAGGAAGGUAGAAUUCCCGGUGUAGCGGUGAAAUGCGUAGAGAUCGGGAGGAAUACCAGUGGCGAAGGCGGCCUUCUGGACUGACACUGACACUGAGGUGCGAAAGCGUGGGUAGCAAACAGGAUUAGAUACCCCUGUAGUC